GGAUGCGAUCAUACCAGCACUAACGCACCGGAUCCCAUCAGAACUCCGAAGUUAAGCGUGCUUGGGCGAGAGUAGUACUUCCGUGUAAGUGAAAAAAAAUUAUUAUUUAUUUU
rnacentral:rRNA from 2 species